rnacentral:rRNA from 1 species
CCUACGGGAGGCAGCAGUGAGGAAUAUUGUGCAAUGGGGGCAACCCUGACGCAGCGACGCCGCGUGAGUGAAGAAGGCCUUCGGGUUGUAAAGCUCUGUCGGAAGGGAAGAACGGUUCAGGUGUUAAUACCAUCUGGAUUUGACGGUACCUUCAAAGGAAGCACCGGCUAACUACGUGCCAGCAGCCGCGGUAAUACGUAGGGGGCGAGCGUUAUCCGGAAUUAUUGGGCGUAAAGGGUGCGUAGGCGGCCUUGUAAGUCAGGUGUGAAAGGCUACGGCUCAACCGUAGUUAGCACUUGAAACUGCAGGGCUUGAGUGCAGGAGAGGAGAGUGGAAUUCCUAGUGUAGCGGUGAAAUGCGUAGAUAUUAGGAGGAACACCAGUGGCGAAGGCGACUCUCUGGACUGUAACUGACGCUGAGGCACGAAAGCGUGGGGAGCGAACAGGAUUAGAUACCCCUGUAGUC